AGUGAACGCUGGCGGUAGGCCUAACACAUGCAAGUCGAACGGCAGCACAGUAAGAGCUUGCUCUUACGGGUGGCGAGUGGCGGACGGGUGAGGAAUACAUCGGAAUCUACUUUUUCGUGGGGGAUAACGUAGGGAAACUUACGCUAAUACCGCAUACGACCUACGGGUGAAAGCAGGGGAUCUUCGGACCUUGCGCGAUUGAAUGAGCCGAUGUCGGAUUAGCUAGUUGGCGGGGUAAAGGCCCACCAAGGCGACGAUCCGUAGCUGGUCUGAGAGGAUGAUCAGCCACACUGGAACUGAGAAACGGUCCAGACUCCUACGGGAGGCAGCAGUGGGGAAUAUUGGACAAUGGGCGCAAGCCUGAUCCAGCCAUACCGCGUGGGUGAAGAAGGCCUGCGGGUUGUAAAGCCCUUUUGUUGGGAAAGAAAAGCAGCAGGUUAAUACCCCGCUGUUCUGACGGUACCCAAAGAAUAAGCACCGGCUAACUUCGU
rnacentral:rRNA from 1 species